GAGAAUUUGUCAUCGGGCCGGUGGAUGAGCUGUCUGUUUUCUCUCUUCGAUGAAUGACGAUCGGCGGGAUCCGAGGCUGAUAUUACACGCUAAGCAACGCCGAGUAAGUUUCAAGUCUUUGCCACUGAGUGCGGCAAAGCACGCAUCCACUGUGUGAGGUUGCGUAGAAAGUCUUUGCCACUGUGUGCGGCAAAGCACGCAUUCACUAUGUGAGACUGAGUUGAAAGUCUUCAUCACUGUGUGCGUUAAAGCGCGGGAUCACUGUUAUGCAAGUCUUUGCCACUGAGUGCGGCAAAGCGCGCAGCCACUGUGUGAGACUGCGUUGAGAAAAUAGGCCUAAUUUUUGUUGUUUGUGAGCGAGGAUAUUUGUUGUGUUGUGUUAAUGACUGCGGAGCAGGCGUGGUCUGUGACACGUUUGUUGUUAUCAUGGGUUCCCGAGCAAGUAAGACUGGCUCACAGGGAGACAACACAUUUUUGUAAGAAUUUACUCCCAACAGUGCGAGGUAUUUAUAUUCUCAUAAUUGUCAUGAGCGUAAACUGGUCGCGGGAGAAUCUCAAAUGUUAGAAGUUUUCAGAAAACACAGCAGCCUUGAAGAGCGUGUGGAGAAGACCAGCUCACAUCAGCAGCAGUUAAGCUAUGCUCUGGUGAAUGGCUUUCCCCCACCCCUUGCUGACAUAAAAUGUUUAGAUUAUUUCCCUGAUCAACAACAGCCUGUGCUCCAGACCAUUAAUUUAACCGGUUGUUAAAAGUAAUCUGCAUUAAGCUUAAGGUUGCUCAAAUUCAGUACAAUGACAUAUGAGAUGAAGUAAAAUAGGCAAAUAUUCUAACUAAUGAAGUGCAUAGAGGCACUUAACCUGUUUGUAAGACUGUCGUCUUAUUAUGAGCCAUUGUUGAGAUAUAGAGCACACCUAUGAAAACAACUAUUAUGCUGAACCCUGUAUGAAACAGCUGAAAACUACAUGAUGGAGAAGCUGAGUUGAAUAUGAAAGUGUAAGUCUUUGCCACUGUGGGCAAAGCACACAACCACUGUGUGAGGUUGUGUUGCUGUCUCUUCUGAGCUGAUGAGCAAGCUACACAUUAUCAGAUCAGGAGCUGCUGAGAACUCAUCAAAGAGAGAGAAACAGAACUAUGAUGACUCGAGUAUGUAGCGUAUCCGUGAGUUCAGCUUCUUCUUUCAGAUGCGCAGCAGUUUUCCUGGAUCUUGAUUCAUGUGUGUAGAGUGUUCAUAGCAUCAGCAUCAUGUUUUUGUUUAUUUGCUUUGUUGGGUUGAAAAAUAAUUAAAUAAACUUGUGAUCAUACUUAUGGAUCACCAUGGCACAUGUCAUCAGCCAUAUGAUUUAUUUACGCAGAUGAAAAGAGUGAGUGUGAAUGUGCCUGACGUCGCUGUGUGUGUGUGCGCUGUGUAAAAGUAAUUGUCACAAAUUGUGAGAGCGGUGAUUCUGCAGGUCACCAGCUAGUGUAAAGAAAGAAAGAGUAAAAAAGAGACGAAGUUUAUAUUGUAGAUGAAAACAAUAAUAGGAAAAAGGUUUUGUGUUUAUCAGCCAAGAACAACUACAAUCUCACUUUCUGCUUUUAAGAAAGGAGAGUUCACAAAAAACAGAGAGAGUUCUGUGUGUUGGUUAAGCAGUGAUAAUAAUAAUGAAAUGUCUUAGUUUUGUCACUUUCAGAUGAAAAGCAGACCUGGAUCAUUUUCCACAUGCAGCAGUCGGAAUAAAGUUAUAGUUUAAUAUCAUUGGAAACAUUCAGGCCAAGUUUCUGGCUAACUUAUUUACAGCUCCAUGUGUCCCUCAUCCUCACAAGCGAGCUCUCACUCCUCCCUGAAGACAAGGAAUGCAGUUCCAAAGAGCAAUAACAUGGCAGAUAAAGAGACAGCAGCAAAGUCCUGAGCAGAGAGACCCAGCAAGCAGCAGCAGUGUGGACAAACAGCAGUGGAGAAGAAGAGCAAACCAUCAUCCUGAUUGGAUGAAUGACACUGUGUUUCCAGCAAGCUGCAACUUCACUGUGCCUGUGAAGAAAACUUUUGAAAAGAACCUAUGAGGAGACUGUUGGAGUUUGACAUUUGCCACUUUCGGAGUAAAAUGGCAAGAAGAGACAGUGGAACACAGGACAAAGCUGAAGAAGAACUGCCGGCUGUUGGACUGUUGAAGUGGGAGAGGACAACAGAGUGAGAGGAGGUAAGGACACAGAGGAAAGCUGUUGUUUAAUGUGGGAAAUCAAAAUUUGGGUUAGCAAACCUGGGGAAAAGAAAACUGACUGCUUAAGUGGAAAAUUGUGAAGGAAUCUGAAACACUGCAAAAAGAAACAUAUACAAAAUCACACACACAAGCAGAACAUGCAUUAACCCUACUAACACAAACACAAGAGAGCUCAUGAAGAUUAGGCAGCAUCUUGAGCAUGUGAGUCUGUUUAUCAUCUUGUCCAAGUCACUUAGUGUGAUGCAAAGAUCAGUGGACUCAUAGCACAUUAGUUGAAAAUGAUGAUCAAAUAAUAGCAGAGAAGUGUGUAGGAAAGGCAGCUUUAAGAACAUGCCCUGCUGGAGAUGCAGCUCCACAGGCACAUUGAUUAAACCUGCCUAAUAACACAAACAUACAUGCAAUGAAAAUCAGCUUGUUAUCUCUCAUCAGUGUUAAAAUAGUGUCAAUUUAACAGACACUGGUUAUCAAAUGCUGAAUUUAUCCAAUGCUGACAAUUAACUAACUAUGUUGCAGGACAACAGUUUAAUUUUUGUGGGAAAAAA
ensembl:lncRNA